rnacentral:lncRNA from 1 species
UGGAGGGAAUCGACUGCCAGUUUAAGGAGUCAUUGUCCAGUUCAGACUCCAGAAUACGAAACGUAGAAACUGACAGGAAAUGACCAAGUAUAAAUUGCAACUUGUAAAGAAUCAUCUUAAAUCCUGGCACUGCGUUCAAGGGGGAGUUUGAGCAAGGAAUGUUGCUAAAACGGCUAAAACCAGGAACUCAGAAUAUCGUUCUACAAUAGAACCUAAAAACUGUUUCCAACCCAUCACGACAUCACCCUGAAAAAUGAGUGAGCAGUCACUGAGGCUUCCCAAGUUUGAAAAUUCCACAAGACUGAGAGCAAAUGUUUUGUUGAAACUGAAGUCAAGAUGAAGUCAGCUGACUCUCAAACCUCAGGUGAAGUGACUCAGGGCCCACACCCCGGUUCUGAGGCAGGGACACAUUUUACUUGCAGCACCCUGCAGCUUUGGAUGAGGCUGCAACCCGGGUGAAUCCUGGCCCUGCUAUCACGUGGGCAGCCACUGCAUCCUCCGGAGGCUGUGGAUGGGAGUCACCAUGCUGGGAGGUCUGGAGUAAGAUCUGUGCCAUCUGCCUUGCCCAAUCCUGUACCAGUGCCUGUGUUUCAAAAUCUCAAAAUAAAAGUGAUUAUUCUUGCAACACAUCUAGGUGUACUAAACGAAUAC